GCUCAGUUGGUAAAGCACAAAGCUCCUAACCUUGUGGACGUGGGUUUAAGCCCCAU
rfam:Triticum urartu cultivar G1812 contig809601, whole genome shotgun sequence.